rnacentral:rRNA from 1 species
UAACAAGGAUUCCCCUAGUAACUGCGAGUGAAGCGGGAAGAGCUCAAAUUUAAAAGCUGGUAGCUUUGUUACCCGCGUUGUAAUCUGGAGAAGCGUUUUCCGCGUCGGACCGUGUACAAGUCUCUUGGAACAGAGCGUCAUAGAGGGUGAGAAUCCCGUCCAUGACACGGACUGCCGAUGCUUUGUGAUACGCUCUCGAAGAGUCGAGUUGUUUGGGAAUGCAGCUCAAAAUGGGUGGUAAAUUCCAUCUAAAGCUAAAUAUUGGCGAGAGACCGAUAGCGAACAAGUACCGUGAGGGAAAGAUGAAAAGCACUUUGGAAAGAGAGUUAAACAGUACGUGAAAUUGUUGAAAGGGAAACGCUUGGAGUCAGUCGCGUCUUCCAGGACUCAGCCUUGCCUUCGGGUUUGGUGUACUUCCUGUUAGACGGGUCAACAUCGAUUUUGGUCGGCGGAUAAAGGGAAAGGGAAUGUGGCACCUUCGGGUGUGUUAUAGCCUUUUCUCGUAUACGUCGUCUGGGAUCGAGGACCGCAGCGCGCCUACUAGGCCGGGGGUUCGCCCCACGUACCGCGCUUAGGAUGUUGACAUAAUGGCUUUAAGCGACCCGUCUUGAAACACGGACCAAGGAGUCUAACAUGCUCGCGAGUGUUAGGGUGGAAAACCCUUGCGCGUAAUGAAAGUGAAAGUUGGGACCUCUUUGAGGGCACCGACGCCCGGCCCAGAAGUUUUCUGACGGUGCUGCGGUAGAGCGCGUAUGUUGGGACCCGAAAGAUGGUGAACUAUGCCUGAAUAGGGCGAAGCCAGAGGAAACUCUGGUGGAGGCUCGUAGCGAUUCUGACGUGCAAAUCGAUCGUCAAAUUUGGG